rnacentral:rRNA from 1 species
GAACGCUGGCGGCGUGCCUAACACAUGCAAGUCGAACGGGGUAGCAAUACCCAGUGGCGAACGGGUGUGUAACACGUGAGCAACCUACCUUUUGGCGGGGGAUAGCCGGUCUAACGGCCGGGGAAUACCGCGUACCGCACCAAAUCGCCAUCCCUCUUUGGUGAAAGUCGCAAGACACCAGGAGAGGGGCUCGCGGCCUAUCAGCUUGUUGGUGAGGUAACGGCUCACCAAGGCUACGACGGGUAGCUGGUCUGAGAGGAUGAUCAGCCACAUUGGGACUGAGAUACGGCCCAGACUCCUACGGGAGGCAGCAGUGGGGAAUAUUGCGCAAUGGCCGCAAGGCUGACGCAGCGACGCCGUGUGUGGGAUGAAGGACUUCGGGUUGUAAACCACUGUCAGGAGGGACGAAGCUCUGACGGUACCUCCAGAGGAAGCACCGGCUAACUCCGUGCCAGCAGCCGCGGUAAUACGGAGGGUGCGAGCGUUGUCCGGAAUCACUGGGCGUAAAGCGCGCGUAGGCGGCUGUGUAAGUGGGGGGUGAAAUCUCACGGCUCAACCGUGAAACGGCCUCUGAGACUGCAUAGCUAGAGCUCGGUAGAGGCAAGUGGAAUUCCCGGUGUAGCGGUGGAAUGCGUAGAUAUCGGGAAGAACACCAGUGGCGAAGGCGGCUUGCUGGGCCGAUGCUGACGCUGAGGCGCGAAAGCGUGGGGAGCAAACAGGAUUAGAUACCCUGGUAGUCCACGCCGUAAACGAUGGGCACUAGGCGUCGGGGGGAACGACCCCUUCGGUGCCGUCGCUAACGCAAUAAGUGCCCCGCCUGGGGAGUACGGCCGCAAGGCUGAAACUCAAAGGAAUUGACGGGGGCCCGCACAAGCGGUGGAGCAUGUGGUUUAAUUCGAUGCAACGCGAAGAACCUUACCUGGGCUUGACAUGUACGUGAAAUCCCGUGGAAACACGGGCCCCUCUUCGGAGCUCGUACACAGGUGCUGCAUGGCUGUCGUCAGCUCGUGUCGUGAGAUGUUGGGUUAAGUCCCGCAACGAGCGCAACCCUCGCUCCCAGUUACCAGCGGCUCGGCCGGGGGACUCUGGGGGGACUGCCGGUGUCAAACCGGAGGAAGGUGGGGAUGACGUCAAGUCAGCAUGGCCCUUACGUCCAGGGCUACACACGUGCUACAAUGGCCGGUACAGCGCGCUGCGAACUCGCGAGGGUAAGCCAAUCGCUAAAAGCCGGUCUAAGUUCGGAUUGCAGUCUGUAACUCGACUGCAUGAAGUCGGAAUCGCUAGUAAUCGCGGAUCAGCUACGCUGCGGUGAAUACGUUCCCGGGCCUUGUACACACC